ensembl:lncRNA
GGGUCAUGUGCAGUACCCUGUUCUUGCUCCUGACGCCUUUGUAGCUCGUCGGUAAUUUGCCCCAGCUGUGCCUGCCUGCAGUCAUUUCCAGUGCCUUCCGGUUUCUUUGUAUCUUGUUGCUCCAGGAGACGUUCGUCCAGGUACAAGCGCUGCAGGAAAGAGUCCCGCGUCCCGGGCCCCAGGCUCACUGCCACAGAAGACGGUCCUGUGGGCUCAGCAGUACCUGGACUGGGUCAGCCGGUCCUCUGAUCACAUGCUUGGGGAGCAGAGCAAGGAUUGAAGCCACUGCCGCCACCCUCAGAAUCUCUCUGAGACCAGAGAUGUAAACAGUGGAGGAGGCAGAAGGGAGUCUGUUGUGACCUGGGCGGAACCCUCAUGCAGGGUUCUACUGUGCCAACCGGGGUCAAGCCUGCAUCCCUCGCAUUGGAAGACGGGUUCUUACCCACUGGACCACCAGGAAGUCCCAAGAAGCAAUUUAUGCUUGAAGACCUGCUCCUGGGUCAGACCAGCAGGAGUGGCCUCAGGCAGUGGCCUGGAGAUGCAUCUUGCCCCUGUGCACCCCUGCGGGGAUCAGCAGCUUUGCCACCCUCGGUUCGGGUGGCAGGCAGAAAUCCAGGGCUUUUUCAGCUGAAGGCAGUGAACCCGGUAGGCAGUGAAUGGGGAAGCCUGCGGUUUUGCUGGUCUGAGCUCGAGGUCCCAGUUGAGAUGAGCAGCAGACCCCUCAGAAUGUAAUGGGGGCCUCAUGGGGACCAGAGCACCCCAGGAGGGCUGGCUUAACUGACUGGGGUCAGGGGCAUGCCCGUGUGCACUUGAUGCAGACCCGGGGAACCCAGGGUGCGGGCCGGGGGGACUCGCAGGGUGACGGGCACGUCUUAGGAUCCUGGCGUUGGCUGCACAGACCAAACACUUGUCCCUGAGGACUGGGUAAAAUAGAGAACACUGCCUUAUACACACGUUUUUCUCUGUAACAUCAAAGUGAAAUAGAUUAGACCGUGAAUCGGGAACCAUGGCUGCACGUCAGAACCACUCAGGGUGCUUCUGAAAAGGGAGCUGCUCCCCGCCCC